CCUAGUUUCAUCUCUAGUUUUCCUCAUACCAAUUGGAGUAACAUAUUUCAACUUAUGGCUUAAAAACUAUACUGGACUCAAGGGUCAAAAUCCUGCACAGAAAAUUAGCACUCCCAAUUUCCAUUCCACCCAACUCCCAAACAUCAAUUCACAUUCAUGGCACUUCUAAUUGUCAACAAUCAAGCUCAACAAUAUCAAUUUCAAGCCAUAUACACAAAUUCCCAAAGUUACAUAAAAAAUCCUAACUCCUAUUACACAAUUUUUGCAAACUCCAUUUAAACAACUUCUAAUGCAUCAAUGCAUCCUUCAUCAUCAUUAGACCAAUUUAAUUCAACUAAAUUCAUCAGACCCUAACAUUCCCCAUGGAUGCCAAAAAUUAGUUUUCACAUACCCCCAUCAUAUUCUUGCAAUUUCAUGAAAUUUCAACUCAAUUCCAUUAGCUAAUUAUGCUUUAAGAAAGAAAAGAGUUGUAUAGUGCACUAACCUUGCUUUACCAAUUUCUUGAAUUGCCUAAACUUUAAACUCUUUGCUUUUCUUGGCGGCCAAUCACUUCUCCAAGUGUGGGAUAAAUUUUUAAUGAAGGGAAUUAUGGGUUUUAUGGUAGAAAAAGAGAGAGAAAUUCAAGCUUAAAGCUUGAAAAAUCAAGAGAGAAUGUUG
rnacentral:misc_RNA from 1 species